rnacentral:rRNA from 1 species
UCUGGCAUCGAUGAAGAACGCAGCGAAAUGCGAUAAGUAAUGUGAAUUGCAGAAUUCAGUGAAUCAUCGAAUCUUUGAACGCACAUUGCGCCCGCCAGUAUUCUGGCGGGCAUGCCUGUCCGAGCGUCAUUUCAACCCUCGAACCCCUCCGGGGGGUCGGCGUUGGGGAUCGGGAACCCCUAAGACGGGAUCCCGGCCCCGAAAUACAGUGGCGGUCUCGCCGCAGCCUCUCAUGCGCAGUAGUUUGCACAACUCGCACCGGGAGCGCGGCGCGUCCACGUCCGUAAAACACCCAACUUCUGAAAUGUUGACCUCGGAUCAGGUAGGAAUACCCGCUGAACUUAAGCAUAUCAAUAAGCGGAGGAAAAGAAACCAACAGGGAUUGCCCCAGUAACGGCGAGUGAAGCGGCAACAGCUCAAAUUUGAAAUCUGGCCCCUAGGGUCCGAGUUGUAAUUUGUAGAGGAUGCUUUUGGUGAGGUGCCGCCCGAGUUCCCUGGAACGGGACGCCGCAGAGGGUGAGAGCCCCGUCUGGCUGGCCACCGAGCCUCUGUAAAGCUCCUUCGACGAGUCGAGUAGUUUGGGAAUGCUGCUCAAAAUGGGAGGUAUAUGUCUUCUAAAGCUAAAUAUUGGCCAGAGACCGAUAGCGCACAAGUAGAGUGAUCGAAAGAUGAAAAGCACCUUGAAAAGAGGGUUAAACAGUACGUGAAAUUGUUGAAAGGGAAGCGCUUGUGACCAGACUUGGGCGCGGCGGAUCAUCCGGGGUUCUCCCCGGUGCACUUCGCCGUGUUCAGGCCAGCAUCAGUUCGGCGCGGGGGAAAAAGGCUUCGGGAACGUGGCUCCUCCGGGAGUGUUAUAGCCCGUUGCAUAAUACCCUGCGCUGGACUGAGGACCGCGCAUCUGCAAGGA